rnacentral:rRNA from 1 species
GACAGAGGGUGCAAACGUUGCUCGGAAUCACUGGGCGUAAAGGGCGUGUAGGCGGGAAGGAAAGUCAGAUGUGAAAUCCCCAGGCUCAACCUGGGAACUGCAUUUGAAACUCCCUUUCUUGAGUACCGGAGAGGAAAGUGGAAUUCCUGGUGUAGAGGUGAAAUUCGUAGAUAUCAGGAGGAACACCGGUGGUGUAAACGGCUUUCUGGACCAUAACUGACACUGAGGCACGAAAGCGUGGGUAGCAAACAGG